rnacentral:misc_RNA from 1 species
GAUGAAGAACGUAGCGAAAUGCGAUAAGUAAUGUGAAUUGCAGAAUUCAGUGAAUCAUCGAAUCUUUGAACGCACAUUGCGCCCGCCAGUAUUCUGGCGGGCAUUCCUGUUCGAGCGUCAUUUCAACCAUCAAGCCCUGCUUGCGUUGGGGUCCUGCGGCUGCCCGCAGGCCCUGAAAACCAGUGGCGGGCUCGCUAGUCACACCGAGCGCAGUAAUACAUCUCGCUUUGGGCGUGCGGCGGGUUCUUGCCGUUAAACACCCCCUUUUUACCAAGGUUGACCUCGGAUCAGGUAGGAAUACCCGCUGAACUUAAGCAUAUCAAUAAGCGGAGGA